CAAAAUGUAGCUUAAUCAAAGCACCUGACUUACACUCAGGAGAUUCCACACUUCGUGGCCGUUUUGA
rnacentral:tRNA from 1 species